AGCAGCCGCGGUAAUUCCAGCUCCAAUAGCGUAUAUUAAAGUUGUUGCAGUUAAAAAGCUCGUAGUUGAAUUUCGGGGUUAGUAGGUUGGUCAUGCCUCUGGUACGUACUGGUCUCACUGAUUCCUCCUUCCUGAUGAACCGUAAUGCCAUUAAUUUGGUGUUGCGGGGAAACUGGACUGUUACUUUGAAAAAAUUAGAGUGUUUAAAGCAAGCUAACGCUUGAAUACAUUAGCAUGGAAUAAUGAAAUAGGACGUUCGAUCCUAUUUUGUUGGUUUCUAGGAUUGACGUAAUGAUUAAUAGGGAUAGUUGGGGGCAUUAGUAUUCAAUUGUCAGAGGUGAAAUUCUUGGAUUUAUUGAAGACUAACUACUGCGAAAGCAUUUGCCAAGGAUGUUUUCAUUAAUCAAGAACGAAAGUUAGGGGAUCGAAGACGAUCAGAUACCGUCGUAG
rnacentral:rRNA from 1 species